AGAGUUCGAUCCUGGCUCAGGAUGAACGCUGGCGGCGCGCCUAACACAUGCAAGUCGAACGGCACCCCUCUCCGGAGGGAAGCGAGUGGCGAACGGCUGAGUAACACGUGGAGAACCUGCCCCCUCCCCCGGGAUAGCCGCCCGAAAGGACGGGUAAUACCGGAUACCCCGGGGUGCCGCAUGGCACCCCGGCUAAAGCCCCGACGGGAGGGGAUGGCUCCGCGGCCCAUCAGGUAGACGGCGGGGUGACGGCCCACCGUGCCGACAACGGGUAGCCGGGUUGAGAGACCGACCGGCCAGAUUGGGACUGAGACACGGCCCAGACUCCUACGGGAGGCAGCAGUGGGGAAUCUUGCGCAAUGGGGGGAACCCUGACGCAGCGACGCCGCGUGCGGGACGGAGGCCUUCGGGUCGUAAACCGCUUUCAGCAGGGAAGAGUCAAGACUGUACCUGCAGAAGAAGCCCCGGCUAACUACGUGCCAGCAGCCGCGGUAAUACGUAGGGGGCGAGCGUUAUCCGGAUUUACUGGGUGUAAAGGGAGCGUAGACGGCGUAUCAAGUCUGAUGUGAAAGGCAGGGGCUUAACCCCUGGACUGCAUUGGAAACUGGUAUGCUUGAGUGCCGGAGGGGUAAGCGGAAUUCCUAGUGUAGCGGUGAAAUGCGUAGAUAUUAGGAGGAACACCAGUGGCGAAGGCGGCUUACUGGACGGUAACUGACGUUGAGGCUCGAAAGCGUGGGGAGCAAACAGGAUUAGAUACCCUGGUAGUCCACGCCGUAAACGAUGAUUACUAGGUGUGGGGGGACUGACCCCUUCCGUGCCGCAGCAAACGCAAUAAGUAAUCCACCUGGGGAGUACGACCGCAAGGUUGAAACUCAAAGGAAUUGACGGGGGCCCGCACAAGCGGUGGA
rnacentral:rRNA from 1 species